UACGAGGGGGGCAAGCGUUGUUCGGAAUUAUUGGGCGUAAAGGGCGCGUAGGCGGUGCGGUAAGUCUGAUGUGAAAUCUCCGGGCUCAACUCGGAGUCUGCAUCAGAAACUGCCGUGCUCGAGUGUGGGAGAGGUGAGUGGAAUUCCCGGUGUAGCGGUGAAAUGCGUAGAUAUCGGGAGGAACCCCUGUGGCGAAAGCGGCUCACUGGACCACAACUGACGCUGAGGCGCGAAAGCUAGGGGAGCAAACAGG
rnacentral:rRNA from 1 species